CGGCAGCAUGAUCUAGCUUGCUAGGUUGAUGGCGAGUGGCGAACGGGUGAGUAAUACAUCGGAACGUGCCCUGUAGUGGGGGAUAACUAGUCGAAAGAUUAGCUAAUACCGCAUACGACCUGAGGGUGAAAGUGGGGGACCGCAAGGCCUCAUGCUAUAGGAGCGGCCGAUGUCUGAUUAGCUAGUUGGUGGGGUAAAGGCCCACCAAGGCGACGAUCAGUAGCUGGUCUGAGAGGACGAUCAGCCACACUGGGACUGAGACACGGCCCAGACUCCUACGGGAGGCAGCAGUGGGGAAUUUUGGACAAUGGGGGCAACCCUGAUCCAGCAAUACCGCGUGUGUGAAGAAGGCCUUCGGGUUGUAAAGCACUUUUGUCCGGAAAGAAAUCGCACUUACUAAUAUUAGGUGUGGAUGACGGUACCGGAAGAAUAAGGACCGGCUAACUACGUGCCAGCAGCCGCGGUAAUACGUAGGGUCCAAGCGUUAAUCGGAAUUACUGGGCGUAAAGCGUGCGCAGGCGGUUGUGCAAGACCGAUGUGAAAUCCCCGGGCUUAACCUGGGAAUUGCAUUGGUGACUGCACGGCUAGAGUGUGUCAGAGGGGGGUAGAAUUCCACGUGUAGCAGUGAAAUGCGUAGAGAUGUGGAGGAAUACCGAUGGCGAAGGCAGCCCCCUGGGAUAACACUGACGCUCAUGCACGAAAGCGUGGGGAGCAAACAGGAUUAGAUACCCUGGUAGUCCACGCCCUAAACGAUGUCAACUGGUUGUUGGGGAUUCAUUUCCUUAGUAACGUAGCUAACGCGUGAAGUUGACCGCCUGGGGAGUACGGUCGCAAGAUUAAAACUCAAAGGAAUUGACGGGGACCCGCACAAGCGGUGGAUGAUGUGGAUUAAUUCGAUGCAACGCGAAAAACCUUACCUACCCUUGACAUGCCACUAACGAAGCAGAGAUGCAUUAUGUGCUCGAAAGAGAAGUGG
rnacentral:rRNA from 1 species